UGGAAAUUUUGGGAGUUGAACCCAAGGCCCCGUGCUUGCAAAACACGUGCUCUACCAACUGAGCUAAAUUCCC
rnacentral:tRNA from 1 species